GCCGGUGUGAUGGAAUGGUAGACGUAGCGGAUUCAAAAUCCGCCGGUGGCGACACCGUGUGGGUUCGAGCCCCACCACCGGUACCA
rnacentral:tRNA from 1 species